UACCAGCACCCCGAGUGGUCGGGACGAUUAUUGGGCCUAAAGCAUCCGUAGCCGGCCUUACAAGUCCCCCGUUAAAUCCAACUGCUUAACAGAUGGGCUGCGGAGGAUACUAUAAGACUAGGAGGCAGGAGAGGCAAGCGGUACUCAGUGGGUAGGGGUAAAAUCCAUUGAUCCAUUGAAGACCACCAGUGGCGAAGGCGGCUUGCCAGAAUGCGCUCGACGGUGAGGGAUGAAAGCUGGGGAGCAAACCGG
rnacentral:rRNA from 1 species